GGGUACCCGCGGCAAGACGGAAAGACCCCGUGAACCUUUACUAUAGCUUGACACUGAACAUUGAGCCUUGAUGUGUAGGAUAGGUGGGAGGCUUUGAAGCGUGGACGCCAGUCUGCGUGGAGCCGACCUUGAAAUACCACCCUUUAAUGUUUGAUGUUCUAACGUGGACCCGUGAUCCGGGUUGCGGACAGUGUCUGGUGGGUAGUUUGACUGGGGCGGUCUCCUCCUAAAGAGUAACGGAGGAGCACGAAGGUUGGCUAAUCCUGGUCGGACAUCAGGAGGUUAGUGCAAUGGCAUAAGCCAGCUUGACUGCGAGCGUGACGGCGCGAGCAGGUGCGAAAGCAGGUCAUAGUGAUCCGGUGGUUCUGAAUGGAAGGGCCAUCGCUCAACGGAUAAAAGGUACUCCGGGGAUAACUGGCUGAU
rnacentral:rRNA from 1 species